CAAAGGAAGUGGUUGAAGCCAUGGCUUCCCUAAAUGAGAAACCUCUCAUCUUGGCUCUCUCCAACCCAACAUCACAAUCAGAGUGUACAGCCGAAGAGGCUUAUACUUGGACCAAGGGCAAGGCAAUUUUCGCUAGUGGAAGUCCAUUUGAUCCUGUUGAAUAUGAGGGCAAAGUUUACGUUUCUGGCCAGGCCAAUAAUGCAUAUA
rnacentral:misc_RNA from 1 species